rnacentral:rRNA from 1 species
UGAGGAAUAUUGGGCAAUGGACGCAAGUCUGAUCCAGCCAUGCCGCGUGAAGGAUGAAUGCCCUCUGGGUUGUAAACUUCUUUUAUAGGGGAAGAAAGAUACUUUUUUUAAGGUAGUUGACGGUACCCUAUGAAUAAGCACCGGCUAACUCCGUGCCAGCAGCCGCGGUAAUACGGAGGGUGCGAGCGUUAUCCGGAUUUACUGGGUUUAAAGGGUGCGUAGGCGGGCUAUUAAGUCAGAGGUGAAAUCUCCGGGCUCAACCUGGAAACUGCCUUUGAUACUAUUAGCCUUGAAUUAUGUUGAGGUUGGCGGAAUAUAACAUGUAGCGGUGAAAUGCUUAGAUAUGUUAUGGAACACCGAUUGCGAAGGCAGCUGGCUAAACAUAUAUUGACGCUGAUGCACGAAAGCGUGGGUAGCGAACA